rnacentral:rRNA from 1 species
UGGUAGUGUAUUGGACAACCAUGGCAGUCACUGGUAACGGAGAAUUAGGGUUCGAUUCCGGAGAGGGAGCCUGAGAAACGGCUACCACAUCUAAGGAAGGCAGCAGGCGCGUAAAUUACCCAAUCCCGAUUCGGGGAGGUAGUGACAAGAAAUAGCAACUCGUGCGGGUUUCCGUUACGGGAUUGCAAUGAGAUAAGUCCAAAUCCGUAAACGAUUAACAAUUGGAGGGCAAGUCUGGUGCCAGCAGCCGCGGUAAUUCCAGCUCCAAUAGCGUAUACUUAAGUUGUUGCAGUUAAAAAGCUUGUAGUUGAAAUUCGAGUCAGUUACUAGUUGGCUUUUCGUCAGUUAGUUAAUUGAUUCUCCGUCUACAAUCCCUUUUGCGCUUUAGGGUUGCAGCUGGGCGAGUAGACAAUUUACCUUGAAAAAAUUAGAGUGUUCCAGGCAGGUCUUCGCCGGAAUACAUUAGCAUGGAAUAAUGGAAUAGGACUUGGGUCUUUUGUUGGUUUUAGGACUUGAGUAAUGAUUAAUAGGGACAGAUGGGGGCAUUAGUAUUUAAUUGUCAGAGGUGAAAUUCUUGGAUUUAUUAAAGACUAACUUAUGCGAAAGCAUUUGCCAAGGAUGUUUUCAUUAAUCAAGAACGAAAGUUAGGGGAUCAAAGACAAUCAGA